AUUGAACGCUGGCGGCAUGCUUUACACAUGCAAGUCGAACGGCAGCGCGCGCCUCGGCCUGGCGGCGCGUGGCGCACGGGUGAGUAAUGCAUCGGAACGUGCCCCGUAGUGGGGGAUAGCACGGCGAAAGCCGGAUUAAUACCGCCUACGACCUGCGGGUGCUACCGGGGGGCCGAAAGGCCUUGCCCUCUUGGGGCGGCGGACGCCGGAUUUGCUAGCUGGUGGGUUAAAGACUUACCAAGCCGGCGAUCGGCAGAUGGUCUGCGAGGACGACCGGCCACACGGGGGCGGAGCCACGGCCCAGACUCCUGCGGGAGGGAGCAGUGGGGAAUGGUGGACAAUGGGGGCAACCCUUAUCCAGCCAGGCCGCGUGCGAGAAGAAGGCCUUCGGGGUGUGAACAGCUUCUGUGCGGGAAGAAAUGCUCUGGGCUAAGACCCCGCGGGGGUGACGGUACCGGAAAAAUAAGCACCGGCUAACUACGUG
rnacentral:rRNA from 1 species